rnacentral:ncRNA from 1 species
ACAGGGGCGCCGUCUACGCCCGCGUGCCGUCUGUAGGAUAGCCGUCCGCACCGGCACGGGACGGUUCAGACGAGAGGA